rnacentral:rRNA from 1 species
GACGAACGCUGGCGGCGUGCUUAACACAUGCAAGUCGAACGGGCCCGCUCUCUUUUUUGGGGGUGGGUUGAGUGGCGAACGGGUGAGUAUCACGUGAGUAACCUGCCCCCUGCUCCUGGAUAACUGCUUGAAAGGGCGGCUAAUACGGGGUGUGCCGGCUGGUCCGCAUGGGCCUGGUCGGGAUAGUUUCAUCUUCGGGUGUUUCGGUGGGGGAUGGGCUCGAGGCCUAUCAGCUUGUUGGUGGGGUGAUGGCCCACCAAGGCGGUGACGGGUAGCCGGCCUGAGAGGGUGGGCGGCCACACUGGGACUGAGACACGGCCCAGACUCCUGCGGGAGGCAGCAGUGGGGGGUAUUGCACAAUGGGCGGAAGCCGGAUGCAGCGACGUCGCGUGAGGGAUGGAGGCCUUCGGGUUGUGAACCUCUUUCUCCGGUGGUGAAGGCCCUGUCCGUUGCGGCGGGGUUGACGGUAGCCGGGUAUGAAGCGCCGGCUAACUACGUG